rnacentral:piRNA from 1 species
UGUAAGGACACAUGGCUCUGUGGAUUGUU